AAUCCAGACAUUGGGAGGUAGCGACGAGAAAUAUCAAGCUGAGGCCAUUGGCUUCAGCAUUGAAAUGAACGUAAUGUAAAUACUUUGAUGAGUAACAACUGGAGGGCAAGUCUGGUGCCAGCAGCCGCGGUAAUUCCAGCUCCAGUAGUGUAUAUCAAAAUUGUUGCGUUUAAAACGCUCGUAGUCGGAUGACAAGAACGUCCCCAAUUACCGGUUUAGCCGAGUGGUUGAGGGUGUUUUUUAUUCGCAAGCACUGGUUGUGGGCUUUAAUGCUUGUGGCCAGUCACUUGCGAGGCGUGCCUUGAAUAAAGCAGAGUGCUCAAAGCAAGCGUAACGCUAGAAUGUAAUAGCAUGGAACGAACAGUGUUGAUUUCUGGCUGAGUUGGUCGGUGUGGCAAAGGCUUAGUUUGAUUUGUGGCAACACAAGUCGAACGGCUUUUGCUACCGACGGUCGUUUGAUUCGCAAGAAUUGAACGACCGCCGGACUCAGCUGGGUCCUGGUUAAAAGGGACAUUUGAGGGCGUUAGUACUUGAUGGCGAGAGGUGAAAUUCUUAGACCCAUCAAAGACUGACUAGUGCGAAAGCAUUCGCCAAGAGUGUUUUCAUUGAUCAAGAACGAAAGUUGGAGGUUCGAAGACGAUCAGAUACCGUCCUAGUUCCAUACAGUAAACGAUGCCAACACGGAAUCAGUCCGAAAAGGAUUCAGGUUGGUUCCCCAGUGAAAACUCAAGUUUUCGGGUUACGGGGAGAGUACGAUCGCAAGGUAGAAAUUUAAAAGAAUUGACGGAAGGGCACCACAAGGAGUGGAGCCUGCGGCUUAAUUUGACUCAACACGGGGCAACUCACCAGGUCCGGACAUUGAAAGGAUUGACAGACUGAUAGAUCUUUCAUGAUUUAAUGAUUGGUGGUGCAUGGCCGUUCUUAGUU
rnacentral:rRNA from 1 species